rnacentral:tRNA from 1 species
AAGGGUAUAGCUCAAGUAGUAAAGCAAGUGCUUAGCAUGCAUGAGAUCCUGGGUUGAAUCCCCAGUACCGUCA